CUGUUAUAGCCCCCGUAGUAGCUAACAUAGCCUCCUUUAUAGAGAAUUUAUACUUAUCUCUAUUUUUUGUCUCUCCUCCUUGAUCGUACUUUCCACCAUCUCCUCUUCUUUUUCUCUACCUUCCCCUGUAUUUAUCCAUUCCACCACCAAUCUACGUCUUCCAGAAUAAACUGUUGUCAUACCAAACAACUCUCUGGUUAUUUCCCUAAUGCAAUUGGCUAUCUUUUCCCACAUACUAUCUAUAUCCCUACUACUCUCCCAUGACUCCAUGUCUAUGAACUUUUUCCCUAUCUCUAAGGCACUUGCCAUAGUCAAGUUACCACAUUUGAUACUAGGAUGAUCAUCAAAAAGCCUCUUCCUCCUCGUCUUCUUAAUAUCUAAAUCCAUCACCAAAAGCGCAUGUUGGGUUAAAAGAUUCUCACUUAGAAUAACCUUACAGUCUUUACAAAGAUAUUUAUCCUCUGUCCCAAGGGAAAAAAUUCUAUUUGUGUCUUGUCCACUGAACUAUGGAAGGUAACCAAAUGCUUCUACUUCUUGGGGAAGCUGGAGUUUUCUAUCCUCAAUUCGAAGGCUCUAGCAAAAUCCAAAGUUAUGGUGAUGGUACACUUGGGGUUAGUCUGAGUGAUAGUCAAGAAUGCACGAAUAUGAAGCUACUACUCAACCAAUAAUAAAAGGUUAUUCUUGAAAGAUCUGUCAUUUAUGGUUGGGGAGCUUUUCUUACAUUUUAUGGCCGAGGAGCUUUUAUAAAGAUAGGUCAUGAUGGUGUCUGGUGAUCACAAGUUGAUAUCUUUCAAUGAACGAAUUUUUGUGGGAGAAGAACUCUUUAUGGCUAUCAUUAUGAGCCAAACAGUGCACCCGCAUGGCAAGGAAGCCUAUGGCAUCCAGUACUAGGAAAUGGGAUGAUGCUCCUUCAAGUGGUCGUGCUAGGAAGCAUUCUUUAUUGAGCGCCCAUUUAACUAAUUUCUUGAUCUAUUAAUUAUUAUUCUUUUUAUUCCAUAACUCUUCUGUUGAUGACCAUCAAAUGAUACUUCUAAUCAAUUUAUUCCUGAA